rnacentral:lncRNA from 1 species
UUCGAGCACAGGGUGGACAGCAGCUGAGGCAGAAAGCACAGGGUGCCACUGAGGCCAUUAAGGAAAAGACGGGAUUGAACAAAUGAGAAAGUUCAGUUUCAAAAAAAAACAAAUGAGAAAGCACGUUCCUAAUAAUAAUUUACUUUUUUAUUCCUACCAUACUACUACUACUACUAAUAAUUAGAUAGGUUUAUCUAUCUAAAGCCUAAGGAUUUCAAACGAAGCCAUUUA